rnacentral:rRNA from 1 species
UACGUAGGGGGCAAGCGUUGUCCGGAUUUAUUGGGCGUAAAGAGCGUGUAGGCGGCCUGGUAGGUCAGCUGUGAAAACUCGAGGCUCAACCUCGAGACGCCGGCUGAAACCAUCAGGCUAGAGUCCGGAAGAGGCGAGUGGAAUUCCCGGUGUAGCGGUGAAAUGCGCAGAUAUCGGGAGGAACACCAAUGGCGAAGGCAGCUCGCUGGGACGGUACUGACGCUGAGGCGCGAAAGCGUGGGGAGCAAACAGG